UACGAGGGGGGCAAGCGUUGUUCGGAAUUAUUGGGCGUAAAGGGUGCGUAGGCGGUUUUGUAAGUCUUGUGUGAAAUCUUCAGGCUCAACUUGAAGACUGCACGAGAAACUGCAGGGCUUGAGUGUGGGAGAGGUGAGUGGAAUUCCUGGUGUAGCGGUGAAAUGCGUAGAUAUCAGGAGGAAAACCUGUGGCGAAAGCGGCUCACUGGACCACAACUGACGCUGAUGCACGAAAGCUAGGGGAGCAAACAGG
rnacentral:rRNA from 1 species